rnacentral:lncRNA from 1 species
CGAUGUCGACCUCGACGUCAUGAUGUCUCCUUCACAAUGACCACGACUUUGACGUCGGCGUAGGCAUCGAUAACGUCUUCUUUAAUGUUUGCUACGUCAACCUAGAUAGUGGUGACUUUUCCUCAAUAACCUCAACACCUACCUCGACGUCGGUGACGUCCUUCUCAAUAACUACGAUGCCAGUCUCGACGUCGAUGAUGUCACUCUCAAUAACCUCGACGCUAACCUCCACGUAGGGGCCAACCUCAAUGUCAGUGACGUUUUUCUCAAUAACCUUAGCGUCAACCUCGACGUUAGCACCAACCUCGACGUCGGUGACUUCUUUCUCAAUAACCUUGGCGCUAACCUCGACAUCGGUGUAAACCUCGACGUCGACGCCAACCUCGACAUUGGUGACGUCUUUCUCUACAACCUCAGCGUCGACCUCGACGUUGGUGACCUCUUUCUCAAUAACCUCAGCGUCGACCUCAACGUCGGCGCCAAUCUCAACAUCGACGACGUUUUUCACAAUAACCUUAGUGUCGACCUCUACGUUGGCGUCUCGUUGUCGGCCCUUGGCUUCAACCUCGAUGUCGGCAUCUCUUAUCGGCGUUGGCAUUUUUCUCAACCUCAGCGCUGACCUCGACCUUGACGUUGGCAUCUCGUCG